CUUCGGGGCAGGGUGAAAAUCCCUACCGGCGGUGAAAGUCCGCGAACGGUCGGUUCUAUGAGCCGUCCGCCGAUCCGGUGAAAUUCCGGGACCGACGGUGAGUGCGUUUCCUUUUAGGUGCGCGUAAGUCCGGAUGAAAGAAGGAG
rnacentral:ncRNA from 1 species